CCUACGGGAGGCAGCAGUGGGGAAUUUUGGACAAUGGGCGAAAGCCUGAUCCAGCAAUGCCGCGUGAGUGAAGAAGGCCUUCGGGUUGUAAAGCUCUUUUGUCAGGGAAGAAACGGUGAGAGCUAAUAUCUCUUGCUAAUGACGGUACCUGAAGAAUAAGCACCGGCUAACUACGUGCCAGCAGCCGCGGUAAUACGUAGGGUGCAAGCGUUAAUCGGAAUUACUGGGCGUAAAGCGUGCGCAGGCGGUUUUGUAAGUCUGAUGUGAAAUCCCCGGGCUCAACCUGGGAAUUGCAUUGGAGACUGCAAGGCUAGAAUCUGGCAGAGGGGGGUAGAAUUCCACGUGUAGCAGUGAAAUGCGUAGAUAUGUGGAGGAACACCGAUGGCGAAGGCAGCCCCCUGGGUCAAGAUUGACGCUCAUGCACGAAAGCGUGGGGAGCAAACAGGAUUAGAUACCCUGGUAGUCCACGCCCUAAACGAUGUCUACUAGUUGUCGGGUCUUAAUUGACUUGGUAACGCAGCUAACGCGUGAAGUAGACCGCCUGGGGAUACGGUCGCAAGNUUAAAACUUAAGGAAUUGACGG
rnacentral:rRNA from 1 species